rnacentral:rRNA from 1 species
UACGUAGGGUGCAAGCGUUGUCCGGAAUUAUUGGGCGUAAAGAGCUCGUAGGCGGUUUGUCGCGUCUGCUGUGAAAACUCGGGGCUUAACCCCGGGCCUGCAGUGGGUACGGGCAGACUAGAGUGCGGUAGGGGAGACUGGAAUUCCUGGUGUAGCGGUGAAAUGCGCAGAUAUCAGGAGGGACACCGGUGGCGAAGGCGGGUCUCUGGGCCGUAACUGACGCUGAGGAGCGAAAGCGUGGGGAGCGAACAGG